rnacentral:misc_RNA from 1 species
CUCAAAUACAAAUAAGUAAUCUUCAUGCAUUACAAGCUUCUCAUUGAUAAAUUGUAUAUUUCAAUUCGAGUAAAAGUUCAAGAUUUAGUCUCCAUUUCUUUUACAGAGUAAGGCCGGAGGAAAAGGCAAUCCCAGCCAUGUUUAGGCCUUUCAUGUUGCAAUUAGGGACUGGAAUCAAAGUCCAAUAGCACCUAUUUAUAUCAUAAGAUAGCCAGAUUAUAUCCCAUAAACCCUCACAAUUAGACAACAAUACUGCCCUAAUUACCCCAUCUCUUCGCUCUAAGCACCCCAUUAUUACCCUAUACGGCUUCAUAAUUUCCUCCAUUAUUCUGCUUGGAACUUUUGAAUUACGCUCCCACUGCCCACCGCUUGACCCCAAGGCCCACAAUUCUAUACCAUUUAACAUCCUCGCUCCUGUAUCCGCAUCACCCACACCGUUGGAUUUUAUGAUCAACAUGUGCCCAUCACCGUGCACGUAUAACCGAUCAAUCACAUUCCCCCAGCUAUAUCCAACGGUUAAUUGCUGCUCAUCAUCUCGUCCGCCUUCAAAUCUUGGCCGCACAACUACUGGAGCAUCAUCAGAUUCCAAUCCAGCCAUCAUUACUACGCUUUCAUAGGGUCCAUUGACCACAUUGAGAAAUAUGUAAUCAUCCUCUCUUUGGAAGCCACGUGGCAAUCCAGCAAAAUUUUCCCUUGCUUCCAUAGAAAGCCACUUGUCAGUUUCUGACGUGUACACAAAUAAAACUGGUCGAUUCUCCACUAACUCCGCGAACAAAAAACGAAAACUAUUCGAUCCGGAAACCAAUUUCAUCCCAGAUCUUCGCCAAGAAGACGUGCCACGUGGACCCAGUGGGCUUGGAGGAAUCCUUUUAACUGUCUUCGCAGACAAAUUAACAGCAAUAACUGCCUUACGAGUGUUAGAGGAAAAAAGGAAAACGUCGCCGCUUGCUGUCAGAAAGUAAAUGCUCUCACCUGGAGAGAUCAAAGGUUUCAGCAAAUUGACAAUUUGUAGCUUGAACCACCGAUCGGACUGAUUGGAAAAGCCGUGAAGCACAGCGUCGCGAUGCCAGCGUUUCUUGUAGACGAAGAGCCAGGUGGUAGACUUCGAUCGCGAAUUGUAAUAGCGUACAAAAUGUUGAUCAGAGAUUAAAUCAGAUAAUGAUUUGUUGAGAGAUUUGAGACAAAGAAUUUCAGGUAUAAGGAGAUUGAGGAGUAUGCGGUGUAUGAGUUCCGAAGGAAGAAGGCAAAAUCCAAUAGAAUUUGUCGACAAAUUUCGAGGAUUUUCCAUAGAGGGUUGGGUUAGAGGUUUGAGAUGUGGGAGUGGUAAUGCAGAGGCAAUGCAGG